UACGGAAGGUGCAAGCGUUGCUCGGAAUCACUGGGCGUAAAGGGUGCGUAGGCGGCUUGGUGGGUCUGGUGUGAAAGCCCCGGGCUCAGCCCGGGAAGGGCGCUAGAAACUGCCGAGCUCGAGUGCCGGAGGGGAGAGUGGAAUUCCUGGUGUAGCGGUGAAAUGCGUAGAUAUCAGGAGGAACACCGGUGGCGAAGGCGGUUCUCUGGGCAUUACCUGACGCUGAGGAGCGAAAGUGUGGGGAGCGAACAGG
rnacentral:rRNA from 1 species